rnacentral:sRNA from 1 species
GCCGGGCCGGGUCCCCGCCCCGCGCCGCGCCCGGCCCCGCCAUGGUGUCCUGGAUCAUCUCUCGCCUGGUGGUGCUCAUCUUUGGCACCCUGUACCCAGCCUAUUCUUCCUACAAGGCCGUGAAGACAAAAAACGUGAAGGAAUAUGUGAAAUGGAUGAUGUACUGGAUUGUCUUUGCCUUCUUCACCACGGCCGAGACGCUCACGGAUAUAGUGCUCUCCUGGUUCCCCUUCUACUUUGAACUGAAGAUCGCCUUCGUGAUAUGGCUGCUGUCCCCUUACACCAAGGGCUCCAGCGUGCUCUACCGCAAGUUUGUGCACCCAACGCUGUCCAACAAGGAGAAGGAGAUCGACGAGUACAUCACACAGGCCCGAGACAAGAGCUAUGAGACCAUGAUGAGGGUGGGCAAGAGGGGCCUGAACCUUGCCGCCAAUGCUGCAGUCACAGCUGCCACCAAGGUGAGAUGGGGGCCGGCUCGGACUCUCAGGGCCCCUGCCUUGUACAAAGGGCCCUGGCCAGGCCCCUUUGCAUCUACCCUGUACUCGGGGCUGUAGAGACUCUGGGCUCAUGCAGCUGGAGGCUCCAGUCCAGGCUCUACCGCUAUCUGUCCGAGUCACUUUCAUUGUCCGGCCAUUUCCCCAACUGUCCAGAGGCGAAGUGUGGCCCUGCCCCAGUCCUCAGCUCUGUCUGUGUGGGACUGGGUGAGG